rnacentral:rRNA from 1 species
GAUGAACGCUAGCUACAGGCUUAACACGUGCAAGUCAAGGGGAAACGACAUCGAAAGCUUGCUUUCGAUGGGCGUCGACCGGCGCACGGGUGAGUAACGCGUAUCCAACCUGCCCACCACUUGGGGAUAACCUUGCGAAAGUAAGACUAAUACCCAAUGAUAUCUCUAGAAGACAUCUGAAAGAGAUUAAAGAUUUAUCGGUGAUGGAUGGGGAUGCGUCUGAUUAGCUUGUUGGCGGGGUAACGGCCCACCAAGGCUACGAGCAGUAGGGGUUCUGAGAGGAAGGUCCCCCACAUUGGAACUGAGACACGGUCCAAACUCCUACGGGAGGCAGCAGUGAGGAAUAUUGGUCAAUGGACGAGAGUCUGAACCAGCCAAGUAGCGUGCAGGAUGACGGCCCUAUGGGUUGUAAACUGCUUUUAUAAGGGAAUAAAGUGAGUCUCGUGAGACUUUUUGCAUGUACCUUAUGAAUAAGGACCGGCUAAUUCCGUGCCAGCCGCCGCAGUAA